ACCUAAGGCCACACCACCCUGAAAGUGCCAGAUCUUGGAAGCUAACCGGGGCUGGGCCUAGUUAGAACCUGGAUGGGAGACCUCCUUGGAAUACCAGGUGUCAUAGGCU
rnacentral:rRNA from 1 species